rnacentral:rRNA from 1 species
UACAGAGGGGGCAAGCGUUAUUCGGAAUUAUUGGGCGUAAAGGGCGCGUAGGCGGCCUGGCAAGUGGAAGGUGAAAUCCCUCGGCUUAACCGAGGAACUGCCUCCCAAACUGCUUGGCUUGAAUCCGGGAGAGGGAUGUGGAAUUCCAGGUGUAGCGGUGAAAUGCGUAGAUAUCUGGAGGAACACCGGUGGCGAAGGCGGCAUCCUGGACCGGCAUUGACGCUGAGGCGCGAAAGCCAGGGGAGCAAACGGG